AUGCACAUAUACCUUUGGCAAAACACAGAAGAAAGAGAUGACAAACUCCUUACAAUAACAGGGCUGGGCGGGCGCGGGCGGCCGGCGAGCGGCCUUCACGCCGUCCCUUUCGCCGCCGCCUUCUGCUUGCCUCUCACCGCCGUGCAUUUCUUCCUUUUCUUCUGUCUCUUCCCCCCUCGCGGGUUGAGGAUUGUUGGUGAACAAAAAUGCAGCCUCAAGACGGCUGAUGGCAACGAGGAUCUGCGGGCGGACGACUUGCAGGGGACCCCUACGAGGGCUAUGAGUCCAUGGAGCUCGCCUGCCCAGCCGAGCGCAGCGGCCACGUAGCGGUGGGCGACGGGCGCCACAUGUUCGUCUGGGGCGGCCACAAGAGUAAUCAAGUCAGAGGAUUAUAUACUUUUAGCUGCCUAGAAAAGAACUAUGGAUCUACAACAUGGAGACUGGAAGAUGGAAAAAAAUUAACACGGAAGGAGAUGUUCCUCCUUCCAUGUCAGGAAGCUGUGCUGUGUGUGUAGACAGGGUGCUCUACUUGUUCGGAGGACACCAUUCAAGAAGCAAUACAAAGAAGUUUUACAUGCUGGAUUCAAGGUCUACUGACAGCGUAUUAUAGUGGGAAAGGAUUGAUUGCCAAGGAAUUCCUCCAUCAUCAAAGGACAAAUUUGGUGUCUGGGUAUAUAAAAACAAGUUAAUAUAUUUUGGAGGUUAUGGAUAUUUACCUGAAGAUAAAGUAUUGGGAACUUUUGAAUUUGAUGAAACAUCUUUUUGGAAUUCAAGCCACCCAAGAGGAUGGAAUGAUCAUGUACCUAUUUUAGACACUGAAACAUUUAUCUGGAGUCAGCCUAUCACUACUGGUAAAGCACCUUCACCUCGUGCUGCCCACGCCUGUGCAACUGUUGGAAACAAAGGCUUUGUGUUUGGAGGCAGAUAUCGAGAUGCUAGAAUGAAUGAUCUUCACUAUCUUAAUGUGGACACAUGGGAGUGGAAUGAAUUAAUUCCACAAGGCAUAGGCCCAGUUGGCCGAUCUUGGCACUCAUUAACACCAGUUUCUUCAGAUCAUCUCUUUCUCUUCGGAGGAUUUACCACUGAUAAACAGCCGCCAAGUGAUGCCUGGACUUACUGCAUCAGUAAAAAUGAAUGGAUACAGUUUAGUCAUCCCUAUACUGAAAAACCAAGAUUAUGGCAUACAGCUUGUGCCAGUGACGAAGGAGAAGUAAUUGUGUUUGGUGGGUGCGCCAGUUAACCUUGUCCAUCACAGAGCUGCACACAAUAAUGAAAUACUUAUUUUUUCAGUUCAACCAAAAUCUCUUGUAAGGCUAAGCUUAGAAGCAGCCAUUUGCUUUAAAGAAAUGCUAGCCAACUCGUGGAACUGCCUUCCAAAACACUUACUUCACAGUGUUAAUCAGAGAUUUCGUAGUAAACACUUCUGGAUCUUAAGGCUUUAUAGAUAAUGCCUCUGAUCACCUUGCAUGGACAGCAAUUCUGUAAACAUCAGAGAGUGGCAUCAUUUGUAUAAUUAUAUGCAUUGUUGUAGUUUGCAGCUUUUUUGUUUUAAUGUGCAUGUGAAUGGCCUAGAGAACCUAUUUUUGUGUCUAAAGUUUACAAUAAAUGUAUUUAACACCAAAAAAAAAA